ANAAUAAACGCUGGCGGCGUGCCUAACACAUGCAAGUCGAACGAGAAAGCCUGAUUUCGGUCGGGCAAGUAAAGUGGCGCACGGGUGAGUAACGCGUAGGUAACCUGCCCCUGUGUUCGGAAUAACAGUGCGAAAGCGCUGCUAAUACCGGAUCCGGUCAUAAGGCGGCGGUCUUAUGAUUAAAGUCGGCCUCUCAAAGAAGCCGGCGCAUGGGGAUGGGCCUGCGUCCUAUCAGCUAGUUGGUAGGGUAAUGGCCUACCAAGGCUUCGACGGGUAGCUGGUCUGAGAGGAUGAUCAGCCACACUGGCACUGAAACACGGGCCAGACUCCUACGGG
rnacentral:rRNA from 1 species